CGUGAGAUGUUGGGUUAAGUCCCGUAACGAGCGCAACCCUUGUCCUUAGUUACCAGCACGUUAUGGUGGGCACUCUAAGGAGACUGCCGGUGACAAACCGGAGGAAGGGGGGGAUGACGUCAAGUCAUCAUGGCCCUUACGGCCUGGGCUACACACGUGCUACAAUGGUCGGUACAGAGGGUUGCCAAGCCGCGAGGUGGAGCUAAUCCCAUAAAACCGAUCGUAGUCCGGAUCGCAGUCUGCAACUCGACUGCGUGAAGUCGGAAUCGCUAGUAAU
rnacentral:rRNA from 1 species